ensembl:misc_RNA
GGCUCUGUCCUCCUGGACACGCCGAGAGCCUGAUCCCGGGUCCUACUGCUGGAGGCGGCCACUUCGCCUGGUCCCCGAGUGUC